UACGUAGGGGGCAAGCGUUAUCCGGAUUUACUGGGUGUAAGGGGAGCGUAGACGGCGAUGCAAGUCUGAAGUGAAAGGCGGGGGCCCAACCCCCGGACUGCUUUGGAAACUGUAUGGCUGGAGUGCAGGAGAGGUAAGUGGAAUUCCUAGUGUAGCGGUGAAAUGCGUAGAUAUUAGGAGGAACACCAGUGGCGAAGGCGGCUUACUGGACUGUAACUGACGUUGAGGCUCGAAAGCGUGGGGAGCAAACAGG
rnacentral:rRNA from 1 species